UUAAAUUGAAGUCAGGGACUGGAUCAGAUUACAUAAAUGCCAAUUACAUAGAAGGUUCAGAAAAAGAUGAGCAAUAUAUUGCCACGCAAGGGCCGAGACAAAACACAGUUGUUGAUUUCUGGAUAAUGAUUUGGCAAGAACACGUG